rnacentral:rRNA from 1 species
GAUGAACGCUAGCGAUAGGCUUAACACAUGCAAGUCGAGGGGCAGCAUGGUCUUAGCUUGCUAAGGCUGAUGGCGACCGGCGCACGGGUGCGUAACGCGUAUGCAACUUGCCUCACAGAGGGGGAUAACCCGUCGAAAGACGGACUAAUACCGCGUACACUCUAUGUUGGGCAUCCAAUGUAGAGGAAAUGAAAUUCGCUGUGAGAUAGGCAUGCGUCCCAUUAGCUAGUUGGUGAGGUAACGGCUCACCAAGGCGACGAUGGGUAGGGGAACUGAGAGGUUGAACCCCCACACUGGUACUGAGACACGGACCAGACUCCUACGGGAGGCAGCAGUGAGGAAUAUUGGUCAAUGGGCGAGAGCCUGAACCAGCCAAGUCGCGUGAAGGAUGACUGUCUUAUGGAUGGUAAACUUCUUUUAUACGGGAAUAACAAGAGUCACGUGUGGCUCCCUGCAUGUACCGUAUGAAUAAGCAUCGGCUAACUCCGUG